AUUUACUUAUAGCAAAACAUUAAGAAUAUUUAUGUCCUUCAUGUAAAAUGACACCAAAGGAUCUACCAACCUGGAGGAUCUCGUUCGCCCUGUUCGAGGCUGC
rnacentral:lncRNA from 1 species